UACGUAGGGUGCAAGCGUUGUCCGGAAUUAUUGGGCGUAAAGAGCUCGUAGGCGGUUUGUUGCGUCGGCUGUGAAAUCCCGAGGCUCAACCUCGGGUCUGCAGUCGAUACGAGCAAACUAGAGUGUUGCAGGGGAGACUGGAAUUCCUGGUGUAGCGGUGAAAUGCGUAGAGAUCAUGAGGAAGACCAGUGGCGAAGGCGGGUCUCUGGACAGUUCCUGACACUGAGGCACGAAGGCCAGGGGAGCAAACGGG
rnacentral:rRNA from 1 species